rnacentral:rRNA from 2 species
UUAAGCGACUAAGCGUACACGGUGGAUGCCCUGGCAGUCAGAGGCGAUGAAGGACGUGCUAAUCUGCGAAAAGCGUCGGUAAGGUGAUAUGAACCGUUAUAACCGGCGAUGUCCGAAUGGGGAAACCCAGUGCAAUUCGUUGCACUAUCGUUAACUGAAUACAUAGGUUAACGAGGCGAACCGGGGGAACUGAAACAUCUAAGUACCCCGAGGAAAAGAAAUCAACCGAGAUUCCCCCAGUAGCGGCGAGCGAACGGGGAGCAGCCCAGAGUCUGAAUCAGCUUGUGUGUUAGUGGAACGGUCUGGAAAGUCCGACGGUACAGGGUGAUAGUCCCGUACACCAAAAUGCACAGGUUGUGAACUCGAAGAGUAGGGCGGGACACGUGGUAUCCUGUCUGAAUAUGGGGGGACCAUCCUCCAAGGCUAAAUACUCCUGACUGACCGAUAGUGAACCAGUACCGUGAGGGAAAGGCGAAAAGAACCCCGGCGAGGGGAGUGAAAAAGAACCUGAAACCGUGUACGUACAAGCAGUGGGAGCACCUUCGGGUGUGACUGCGUACCUUUUGUAUAAUGGGUCAGCGACUUAUAUUCUGUAGCAAGGUUAACCGUAUAGGGGAGCCGCAGGGAAACCGAGUCUUAACUGGGCGUUAAGUUGCAGGGUAUAGACCCGAAACCCGGUGAUCUAGCCAUGGGCAGGUUGAAGGUUGGGUAACACUAACUGGAGGACCGAACCGACUAAUGUUGAAAAAUUAGCGGAUGACUUGUGGCUGGGGGUGAAAGGCCAAUCAAACCGGGAGAUAGCUGGUUCUCCCCGAAAGCUAUUUAGGUAGCGCCUCGUGAACUCAUCUUCGGGGGUAGAGCACUGUUUCGGCUAGGGGGUCAUCCCGACUUACCAACCCGAUGCAAACUACGAAUACCGAAGAAUGUUAUCACGGGAGACACACGGCGGGUGCUAACGUCCGUCGUGAAGAGGGAAACAACCCAGACCGCCAGCUAAGGUCCCAAAGUCAUGGUUAAGUGGGAAACGAUGUGGGAAGGCACAGACAGCCAGGAUGUUGGCUUAGAAGCAGCCAUCAUUUAAAGAAAGCGUAAUAGCUCACUGGUCGAGUCGGCCUGCGCGGAAGAUGUAACGGGGCUAAACCAUGCACCGAAGCUGCGGCAGCGACACUAUGUGUUGUUGGGUAGGGGAGCGUUCUGUAAGCCUGCGAAGGUGUGCUGUGAGGCAUGCUGGAGGUAUCAGAAGUGCGAAUGCUGACAUAAGUAACGAUAAAGCGGGUGAAAAGCCCGCUCGCCGGAAGACCAAGGGUUCCUGUCCAACGUUAAUCGGGGCAGGGUGAGUCGACCCCUAAGGCGAGGCCGAAAGGCGUAGUCGAUGGGAAACAGGUUAAUAUUCCUGUACUUGGUGUUACUGCGAAGGGGGGACGGAGAAGGCUAUGUUAGCCGGGCGACGGUUGUCCCGGUUUAAGCAUGUAGGCUGGUUGUCCAGGCAAAUCCGGAUAAUCAAGGCUGAGGUGUGAUGACGAGGCACUACGGUGCUGAAGUAACAAAUGCCCUGCUUCCAGGAAAAGCCUCUAAGCAUCAGGUAACAUUAAAUCGUACCCCAAACCGACACAGGUGGUCAGGUAGAGAAUACCAAGGCGCUUGAGAGAACUCGGGUGAAGGAACUAGGCAAAAUGGUGCCGUAACUUCGGGAGAAGGCACGCUGGUGUGUAGGUGAAGCCCCUGCGGGUGGAGCUGAGACCAGUCGAAGAUACCAGCUGGCUGCAACUGUUUAUUAAAAACACAGCACUGUGCAAACACGAAAGUGGACGUAUACGGUGUGACGCCUGCCCGGUGCCGGAAGGUUAAUUGAUGGGGUUAUCCGUAAGGAGAAGCUCUUGAUCGAAGCCCCGGUAAACGGCGGCCGUAACUAUAACGGUCCUAAGGUAGCGAAAUUCCUUGUCGGGUAAGUUCCGACCUGCACGAAUGGCGUAAUGAUGGCCAGGCUGUCUCCACCCGAGACUCAGUGAAAUUGAACUCGCUGUGAAGAUGCAGUGUACCCGCGGCAAGACGGAAAGACCCCGUGAACCUUUACUAUAGCUUGACACUGAACAUUGAGCCUUGAUGUGUAGGAUAGGUGGGAGGCUUUGAAGCGUGGACGCCAGUCUGCGUGGAGCCAACCUUGAAAUACCACCCUUUAAUGUUUGAUGUUCUAACGUUGGCCCCUGACCGGGGUUGCGGACAGUGUCUGGUGGGUAGUUUGACUGGGGCGGUCUCCUCCCAAAGCGUAACGGAGGAGCACGAAGGUUAGCUAAUCCUGGUCGGACAUCAGGAGGUUAGUGCAAUGGCAUAAGCUAGCUUGACUGCGAGCGUGACGGCGCGAGCAGGUGCGAAAGCAGGUCAUAGUGAUCCGGUGGUUCUGAAUGGAAGGGCCAUCGCUCAACGGAUAAAAGGUACUCCGGGGAUAACAGGCUGAUACCGCCCAAGAGUUCAUAUCGACGGCGGUGUUUGGCACCUCGAUGUCGGCUCAUCACAUCCUGGGGCUGAAGUAGGUCCCAAGGGUAUGGCUGUUCGCCAUUUAAAGUGGUACGCGAGCUGGGUUUAGAACGUCGUGAGACAGUUCGGUCCCUAUCUGCCGUGGGCGCUGGAGAAUUGAGGGGGGCUGCUCCUAGUACGAGAGGACCGGAGUGGACGCAUCACUGGUGUUCGGGUUGUCAUGCCAAUGGCACUGCCCGGUAGCUAAAUGCGGAAGAGAUAAGUGCUGAAAGCAUCUAAGCACGAAACUUGCCCCGAGAUGAGUUCUCCCUGAGACUUUAAGUCUCCUGAAGGAACGUUGAAGACGACGACGUUGAUAGGCCGGGUGUGUAAGCGCAGCGAUGCGUUGAGCUAACCGGUACUAAUGAACCGUGAGGCUUAACCUU